ACCGGUACCAUCCGGUACCGUAUCGAGUUAAACAAGUACAGGUACGGUCCCAUUCCGUACUGCACAUGUAUAGGUACAAAUACAAAGUACAGGUAUAGGUACUGAGCUAGGCAAAGACCCGUACCGUCCGUCCCAUUUGUAUUCUAGAUGCUUUUUUUUUUCGUCUCAACAGAAAAUCGAGAACCAAACUUGUUUCCCUAAUUGGCUAAUUCGAAUUAUACAAAUCAAAAUAUUUCUAAGAAAUCCCUAUUUGCAGCAGGGUUUUAACAAAUCUCUUAUCAAACUCGGCUCUUUGAUGAUUUCCUCUCGAACAAGGUGACUCUUAGUUCACCUGAUUGCAGCAGGAUUUUAAGGUAGUAGUAAAAGAAGAAAUUGAUGCACUCUUGAAAUGGAAAUCAACCCUUGUGAACCAUACCCAUUCUCUCCUCCCUUCUUGGAAGACAAAUACUACUGGGAGGACUAGGAGCCCAUGCAAGUGGUACGGAAUUGUUUGUAACAGCGAGGGAAGCGUUGAGGAAUUGAAUAUACCGGGUUUAGGCAUACAAGGUACGCUCCAUAGUUUCGAUUUCUCAUCCUUUUCCAACAUUGUUAGUGUUGACUUGAGCCAAAACAACCUCUUUGGGCAUAUUCCGUCUCAAAUUGGUAAUCUUUCAAAACUAAUGCACCUUGAUCUUUCCUUCAAUACGCUUUCCGGAUAUGACAUUAUUGCGAUUUCCUCUUGCUUCUUCUUCAACUCUCCAUGUCGUGUGAGGAGAAGAACAAAGUACGGUAUUCAAGUAAGUUUGUGAAACACUAGCUAAGAAGAACAAGGAAUAGGCGAUUUCCUCUUGCUUGUUCUUCAACUCUCCAUGUCGUGUGAGACUAUGAGGAGAAGAACAAAGUACGGUCUUCAAGUAAGUUUGUGAAACCCUAGCUAAGAAGGAAUAGCCUAGUUGGCCAGAGGAUCGAGUCAUAGAGUUUAAUAAUGGGCUGGAGUCUUUGGACACGGGUUAUUACCUAUUUUUCUUAUGUUCGGUUCGGACAAAAAACCGUUUUAUGAAGUCUGGCAAAACAUGUUAUAGAGGCUGUACAUAGAUGCAACUAUUCAAUCAAGACUUAUAUUAGCAUAUGCGCAAACGUUUCAUGUUAGUUUGCGGUACCA